GAUAAAUUAUUUGACUUCAGUGUCUCAAUACUUAUAUAAUUGAUUUUUCUGAAUGUUUUGAAAUGAAUCUUCACUAUGUGGUAUCUUAUAAAAAAUAACUUUAGUAUUUUGACUUGGUUUUUAACUAAGAAUGAACAUUGAUUUGUAUAAUUACUAAAAUUAUUUAAGAAAUGAAGAAGUUUGGAUUAAAUGAUGAAAUUUGAGUGUACUUUUAUAAAUUUGUGACUUAAGUGCUUAAUUAAAAAGCCUGAUUUAGAAAAAAUUUCAUAAUAUUCAUUGUGAUAUAAUAAUAAAAGAGUUUGAAAUUAUUAGCAAUUAUAAUGAUGACUGGUGUUAUUUUCCUUAGGAAAAUCUGAGAGAAAUUAAAAUUCGAGACAAUUACAGGAAGUCGGUUUAACUUUGAUGUUUUAUACUUACAAUGAAAUAUUUUACUAUCAAACGAAAAUAACUUUAUUAAUAGAUUAAAUAUAAAGACUUAAAAAACUAUAACCAAAUCAUUUAACUCCAUCAAAAAAAUGAAUCCAGUUCAAUAAAUAGACCUAUUUUAAAAACAGUAAAAAAUCAUUUUCGACUGACGGUGUGUCUGAUGAAUUAUUUUAUAAGACACGGUGAGUCCUUUUAUUUAUAAAUUAAAAUUUGUGAGCAUUUUUUAUAUUUAGUCUAAUUACUAAUUGAUAUUUAAUAAGUAGGCAUGAAUGAAUUUUCUCACUGAACAUUGGUUAUCAACGUUAGCUACUGUAAUGAAUGGUACGAUUGAGUUGAACGAGACUGGUGAAUAAAUCUCUCUAAGCUCAUCCAUGGGUUGAUCGAUGAAACAGUUAUGCAAACAUAUCUUUGAUAACCCGUUUAAAACUUGGAAGGAUAAAUUGCAAAAUAGAAUAGAAAACUGCGUUAAUAUACUUGCUGAUUUUUACAUAAGAUGAGAUUUUUACUGUGUUGGUGGAUAUUUUCAUGGAUAUUCGACAUUGUUGUUUAAUAAGUAUUCAAUAUUACAAAAGUUGAGGAACGUUUAUAAAUUUUAUUGAUGGUGUUCAUAUCAUUAUUACAGUAUAUUUCCAUAGUUUAUUUAAUAAAAGAUAAAUUUGAAUUAAGAUAUCAAAUCAUAAAGAACAAGAAUCUAUUAAUAUUAAAGAAAAUUCUGAUGAUUUAAUGACAAAAAAAAAAAUUUAUUGCUUUAACCCGCGAUUGUUCAAUGAAGACUAUCAACUUUUGCUCUUAUUCUGCCAGCAGUCUUAAAGACAUAGCGGAUUCAUAUUAAACGUAAUUUCAAAAUUAGUGGGCUGUGUAAUUUUGAUAAUUAUAAUUAUAAACAAUUAAUAACUUUUUAAUCAUUUUUUAGGACAGAGCAUUAGACCUUAAUUAUGCGUUUGGUUCAAACAUGUACUCUGAAUCAUCCCGAAAGUGAUAUUAAAGUAUGGAGAUAAAUAGACAAUUAGUUUUUCUUUGUUUAAUCUACUUAAACAUCUGUUUGAUGAUUUAGCUGAAACAGAUCAACUACUGUGUAAAAAUCAAGACGAUAUUUAAAACAAUGAGACAGGUGCUGGCUUGUUGACAACUUGGAUAUUGAGUGUCGUUAAUUCAAAACAAUUUUUAUUUAACUAUAUAAGACUGACAGGAAUAUACAAUAAAAUGCAAUUUCAAAUAUUCUAAUUUAUAGUAUUUUAUUGUAGGUUUCAAAUUAGUAGAAAAUUAGGAGAUUUACCGAAAAUAGGAGAAAAAUAACCAAGCGAUUGAACUCCAUAAGAAAAAAAAUUUCAGUCUAACAAACUCAGCAUCUUGCGAACAAAACGAAGAUUACUUAAAAAAAAAGUAUUUCAUCUGAAAAUUAAUUUCAUAUCAAUGUAUUAUAGAUUUAAUUUACUACAGGGGAUGCUACGAAUAAGCUUAACAAGAGUAUUUUAAUAAAUUGAUUAAAUAUGAAAGAAUAAAUUGCAAAAUAAAAAAUUGUCCAUCAAAGUAUUUUUUAGCUUUGUCAUUUAGACGCAUUUACAAAGAGGACAAGUACUUUUAUUAAAUAAAUAAUUAAAUGAUCACUGUCUAACCGAAACGAGAGUAAUAACAGGAUAAAGAAUUUCGUAUGCCUAACCCUAUAAAGAAAAAAUGAUUAGUUCGAGAUAAAAAAACACCGUUAUCUUAGAAUUAUGUAAAUGUAAAUUAAAAAAAUGAACUUUUUUUAAUUAAAAUGAAGUUUUAUGAAACCUUUUGAUUAUUUACUUUUAUUAAAAUUACAAAGUUAUUUUUUUUAAUUAAAAGACAAUAUUGAAACUACAAUUAAAAUGUCCAAGAAUGUCAAAUGUAUACACUUUUACUAGAAAAAAAUUUCUUAUUCUACAUAGGUAUGUUUAAUGUCCAUUUUUCAUAACAAAAUUAUGUACAGUGUUUAAUCUCCAUAAUUUUUUAGUGGUUGAUUAAUUUUUAGAAAGAAAUUUCUUUCAUCAUAAUUAACAAUUUUCAAUGAAAAAAAUUACAAAACACGAUACAUAAAAAAAAAUCUGCACAUUUUUUGAGGUUAACUAAUAGUUUAUCAACAAUCAUAUAUACUUAUAUACAUUUUUAACAGAAUUAUAAACAGGCCUACCAUUUUAGCAAAGAAACAAAUUAAAAACAGUUGUAUGAUAUACACACCCACACACAUAUGUACAUAUAAGUUAAAUUCAUAUGUAAUUAAAGCAAUUACUCUUUUUGUUUACUCUACAAACAGCUUUAUGAGUUAAGUGCAUAUAUUGGACGUCAUGCAAGUAAAUGGACUAUAUAGACAUUAGAUGUUUUUCGAUGAUUAUUAAUAAGUACAUUAUUUAUUAAUAAUGAUUCUUUUACUUUAAUCAUUUUCCUUUAAUCAUAAAACCGUCAACCAUUUAGCAUUUCAAAAAGUUUGUUAAAGAAGCUUUAAUUUCAUUCUUGUUUAUUUUAGAAACAAUGAAGAUAAUCCUUGAAAAUGAUGGAAAGUAAUUUUUGGUUAACGCCAGAAAAAUAAUCUAGAAAAAUUACUUUAAUUUUCUAAUAAUUAAGAUAUAUGAACAAAAGAGUUCUGUAUUUUUCAUAACGGUAAAAAGGUGGAUUGUAUCCACUAAUUAACAUAAUUAAUAAAAUGUUGACUUAUACUUAAUUCAUAUUUAUUGAAAUAACAUUAUUGACUUAGUGAGUGCACCGAGCUCUCCGGUUACCUGACAUGAAAAUUAACUUAGCUUAAAUUGUGGCCAAGAAAAAU